UUAGAGUUUGAUCCUGGCUCAGGAUAAACGCUGGCGGCGUGCCUUAAACAUGCAAGUCGAACGGUCUCUUCUUCGGAAGGGGCAGUGGCGGACGGCUGAGUAACACGUAAGUAACCUGUCCUCAAGUGGGGAAUAACUGCGAGAAAUCGUGGCUAAUACCGCAUGUGGUCUUUUGGGCAGAGGCCUAAAGGAGUAAAGCCGAGAGGUGCUUGAGGUGGGGCUUGCGGCCGAUUAGCUAGUUGGUGAGGUAAAGGCUCACCAAGGCGAUGGUCGGUAGCUGGUCUGAGAGGAUGAUCAGCCAGACUGGGACUGAGAUACGGCCCAGACUCCUACGGGAGGCAGCAGUUAGGAAUUUUGGGCAAUGGGCGAAAGCCUGACCCAGCAACGCCGCGUGGGUGACGAAGGUCUUCGGAUCGUAAAGCCCUUUUCUGUGGGAAGAGGAAGGACGGUACCACAGGAAUAAGCCUCGGCUAACUACGUGCCAGCAGCCGCGGUAAUACGUAGGAGGCGAGCGUUGUCCGGAUUUACUGGGCGUAAAGAGCGCGCAGGCGGCAAGGAAAGUUGGGUGUGAAAUCCCUUGGCUUAACUAAGGGGGGUCACUCAAUACUAUUUUGCUUGAGGGCAGCAGAGGGAAGUGGAAUUCCCGGUGUAGUGGUGAAAUGCGUAGAUAUCGGGAGGAACACCAGUGGCGAAAGCGGCAUUCUGGGCUGCACCUGACGCUGAGGCGCGAAAGCGUGGGGAGCGAACCGGAUUAGAUACCCGGGUAGUCCACGCCCUAAACGAUGGACACUAGGUGUAGGGGGUAUCGACCCCUCCUGUGCCGAAGCUAACGCAUUAAGUGUCCCGCCUGGGGAGUACGGCCGCAAGGCUAAAACUCAAAGGAAUUGACGGGGGCCCGCACAAGCAGCGGAGCGUGUGGUUUAAUUCGACGCAACGCGAAGAACCUUACCAGGACUUGACAUGCUAGUGGUAGGACUCUGAAAGGGGAACGACCCGCGAGGGAGCUAGCACAGGUGCUGCAUGGCUGUCGUCAGCUCGUGCCGUGAGGUGUUGGGUUAAGUCCCGCAACGAGCGCAACCCUUGUUGCUAGUUAGGAUAUCUAGCGAGACUGCCGAGACAAACUCGGAGGAAGGUGGGGAUGACGUCAAGUCAGCACGGCCCUUACGUUCUGGGCUACACACACGCUACAAUGGGCGGUACAGAGGGUAGCAAAGGGGUGACCCCGAGCCAAUCCCACAAAGCCGUCCUCAGUUCAGAUUGCAGGCUGCAACCCGCCUGCAUGAAGUCGGAGUUGCUAGUAACCGCAGGUCAGCACACUGCGGUGAAUAUGUUCCCGGGCCUUGUACACACCGCCCGUCACGUCAUGAAAGCUGGCAACACCUGAAGUCGAUGGGCUAACUCGAAAAGAGAGGCAGUCGCCGAGGGUGGGGCUGGUGAUUGGGACGAAGUCGUAACAAGGUACCC
rnacentral:rRNA from 1 species